GGGCGGAAGUCACGUGAGGGGUCACGUGAGGGGGCGCAGCCAUAGAGGGUCCCCAUUGGGGUCCUAUAAACGCUUAUGGGGUUGUGCGGUUCCUAUAUGGGAUUUGGGGUUGUGGGACCCCCAUAAGGCCCCCAUUGGGGUCCCCCAUCAGUUAUGGGGCUUGGGGGAUCCUAUAUGGGGUGGAGGACCCCCAUAAGGUCCCCACUGGGGCCCUAUAAACGCUUUUGGGGUUUGGGGGAUCCUAUGUGGGGUUUGGGGUCCCACAUCCCCCACUACUGCUCCAUAUCCCUCAUUAUGGCCCCAUAACCCCCUAUAAUGACCCCACAACCCCCUAUAAUGGCCCUAUAUCCCCCAUUGCCACCCCAUAAUCCUCUAUAACGGCCCCAUAAUCCUCUAUAACGACCCCAUAUCCCCUAUAACGGCCCCAUAAUCUCCUAUAGUGACCCCAUAUCCCCUAUAACGGCCCCAUAUCCCCUAUAGUGACCCCAUAUCCCCUAUAACGGCCCUAUAGGUGACAUAUGUUUCAACACGUCCCACACCUCUGUAACCAACUACACCGUUCAGCCCCUGGAUGCAGCGCUCUGCCAGCCGCUGAUCCCGCCGUCGCUCAUUGGCUACUACAGCGCAAUCCCCGCCCCUUCCGGCGCGCUGUGCGUCAGCCGCUGCCACCCGCUGUCCGACCGGCCGUUCCCGUGCGUGCACGGAGCAUGCGCAGUGAGCGGCGAUGGACCGCGCUGCCAGUGAGGCCUUAAAGGGGCAGCGGCCCGAAAUUCGGGCUCUAUGGGGGCUCUAUGGGGGCUCUAUGGGGUCUCUAUGGGUCCCUAUGUGGUCUCUUUGUAUGGGAUCUCUAUGGGGUCUCUUUCUAUGGGGUCUCCUUGGGGUCCCUCUGGGUCCCUCUGGGGUCUCUUUCUAUGGGAUCUCUAUGGGGUCCCUAUGGGGUCUCUUUCUAUGGGGUCUCUUUGGGGUCCCUCUGGGUCCCUAUGGGGUCUCUUUCUAUGGGAUCUCUAUGGGGUCCCUAUGGGGUCUCUAUGGGGUCCCUCUGGGUCCCUAUGGGGUCUCUUUCUAUGAGAUCUCUAUGGGAUCUCUAUGGGGUCCCUGUGGGUCGCUAUGGGGUCUCUUUCUAUGGGAUCUCUAUGGGGUCUCUAUGGGGUCCCUCUGGGUCCCUAUGGGGUCUCUUUCUAUGGGGUCUCUUUGGGCUCUCUAU
ensembl:lncRNA